rnacentral:rRNA from 1 species
AUUGAACGCUGGCGGCAUGCCUUACACAUGCAAGUCGAACGGCAGCAUAGAGAGCUUGCCCUCUGAUGGCGAGUGGCGAACGGGUGAGUAAAGCAUCGGAACGUACCGUGUAGUGGGGGAUAACGUAGCGAAAGUUACGCUAAUACCGCAUACGCACUGAGGUGGAAAGCAGGGGAUCGCAAGACCUUGCGCUGUACGAGCGGCCGAUGUCAGAUUAGCUAGUUGGUAGGGUAAAGGCCUACCAAGGCGACGAUCUGUAGCGGGUCUGAGAGGAUGAUCCGCCACACUGGGACUGAGACACGGCCCAGACUCCUACGGGAGGCAGCAGUGGGGAAUUUUGGACAAUGGGGGCAACCCUGAUCCAGCCAUGCCGCGUGAGUGAAGAAGGCCUUCGGGUUGUAAAGCUCUUUCGGCCGGGAAGAAAUCGCACAGGCCAAUACUCUGUGUGGAUGACGGUACCGGCAUAAGAAGCACCGGCUAACUACGUGCCAGCCGCCGCGGUAA